rnacentral:rRNA from 1 species
AAUCAACGCUGGCGGCGUGCCUCAGACAUGCAAGUCGAACGAUUAAAGCUCUCUUCGGAGAGUGUAUAGAGUGGCGCACGGGUGAGUAACACGUAAGUAAUCUACCUUCGAGUGGGGAAUACCGUCCGGAAACGGACGCUAAUACCGCAUAAUGCAGCGGCAUCGUAAGAUGACAGUUGUUAAAGAUUUUAUCGCUUGAAGAGGAGCUUGCGGCAGAUUAGCUAGUUGGUAAGGUAAUGGCUUACCAAGGCUACGAUCUGUAACCGGUCUUAGAGGACGGUCGGUCACACUGACACUGAAUAACGGGUCAGACUCCUACGGGAGGCAGCAGUCGGGAAUUUGGGCAAUGGGCGAAAGCCUGACCCAGCAACGCCGCGUGAAGGAUGAAGUAUUUCGGUAUGUAAACUUCGAAAGAAUAGGAAGAAUAAAUGACGGUACUAUUUAUAAGGUCCGGCUAACUACGUGCCAGCAGCCGCGGU